rnacentral:lncRNA from 1 species
ACCAACCACCAUCCAAGAGGUAGCUUAACAAAGGUAACUAAUCAAAGGUAAAAUAGAUAUUACCAACUAUCAUCCAGGUGAUAACUUAACAAAGGUAAUAAGCCCAGAAGGAAAGGAUACCAACCAUUAUCCAAGUGGUAGCUUAACAAAGGUAACCAACCAAAGGUAAAAUAGAUAUUACUAAGUAUCAACCAAGUGAUAUCUUAACAAAGGUAACAAGCU